rnacentral:lncRNA from 1 species
AUGAAGAAGGAAAACCUUAGUAAUGUGCUUCUCAUUUCUUCCAGAAGUCAAGAGGAAGGGAGAUGCUGUGAACAUAAAGAAAGUAAUCAGUGUGGAGAAAGCGGCAGCUGUAAACCUGAUUGUCUUGAAAACAAGAUAAUUCCUCCUGGAGUAAAAUCAAGUGAAAGCCCGACAUGGAGGAACUCACGCUGGAGAAUAACCCUGAAUAAAGUACGUGGGAAGACUUUGUUAUUACAUAAGCUUUCUAGCAGAGUUUAGAAUGCACAUUGCAGAGAACUUGUAUUAAUGUAAAUCAUGUGGGAAUGCCUCUAGUUAUCUUGGUUCAAUAUAUAUAUAUAUAUAUGUACAUAGAUACAGUAUGGAGAGAAGCCUAGAAUAGAAGAGAAAUGCAAAAAGAUUAAGUUGGCCUACAUAUACACAGGAUCAAACUCUGUGAAAAAUACAAGAUCGUUUUCAGUUUUAAUAAUUUCAAUGUCCUGUGAAAAUUUCUCAGGUAGUGGAACCCUAUAAGUGUAAUUAAUGUGAAGAGCUUGAUAUAAUUUGUUUAGCAUUCUCUAGAGAAUUCACUGUAGGAAACAUACUAAAACUUAUAAAUAUAUUAUGUUCAUAAGUGGCUCAUUCUGAAAGUAGAUCUCUACAGUCUAGAUUUCUAAUUUAUAUUCUUAAAAAUAAAUGAGAAACAUAUCUCUGCGAGUUUCAUUUAGGCAAUAGCAUGAGAGUUUAUAUAUGUAGUUGUCUUUCAGUCAAAUGAGUUUUUGUCCUUUGAACUUGAACCAUGUUGUGGAUCCAUAGGUGAAUUAAUCUGUUUCAAAUGUGCCAUAGGCCUAACUUUUAUGCAGUUUUUAAAUAAUUGUGGUUAAAAGGCUACUGAAAAGUAAAGUGGUUUUAGAGUUUUUUUUUUUUUUGUUUUUUUGGUACUGGGGUUCUACAUUUUUUAGACUUUCUUGUAGAUUAACAUUUUCUUUUAAUUUUGUAUUUUCACAAAAACUUAUUGGCAAAAUUCAAAAUGUAGUGAUAAUAUAUAUUUUGGGAUACAGAUCUAAUAAGAAUAAGAAAAUUCUUUAUAGAUGGAAUAAUAAUUCAGUUAACUGGGAAUUAAAAGUUAAGAAUUUCUGUCAUACUAAUUACAGAUAUGUUCUGUAAAAAUAAUUCUUAGCUGAAAGGCUUUGCAAAUUCAGUUCGUUAGAUUUGGACUACAAAUCAUAAUUGGUGUAUAAGAUAUUUUUACCAGUACCAAGGAAGAAACAAAAAUCAGAAGAAAUCAAAGACCACCAAAAAUAGAUGUUGUUUCUUACCUUUUUUUCUAAUAUCUGUAUGCUGCUUUAUUUCACAUUUCAUUGCAUUCGACCUCCUUGUUGACAAAGUCAUCUGUUUGCUCAGAGAUGGAUUAGAAUUAUUUAGCAGAAAAGAGAAAGAAUAAAUUUGUAUUUUUUGCUUCCCAAAUUUAAUUUUUUUGUUUUUUUUUUUUUUUUUUUUUUUGGUACCACAGAUUGAACCCAGAGGUGCUUAACACUGAGUAACAUCUCCAGCCCCAACUCCCCCUUUUUUUUAAUCUAGAGACAGAUCUCACUAAGUUGCUUAGUGCCUCAGCCUCUGAACCAUUGGAAUUACAGGUGUGAACCACCACACCCAACACAAGCUAGUGGUUCUAUUUGGAGGUGGCAGUUCUCUUAAGAGGUGGGGCCUCCUUGGAGAAACUGGACAUCUGAGAUGUGGGAGAUGUUGGAACACCAGCCUCUUCCUCACUUUUUGCUUCUGAGCCACCAUGAGGUGAGAAACUCCCUGCCAUGCUGUGUUCUGUUAUCAGUGGCUGAAAUGACAGAGCCAAAUGUCAGGACUGACAUCCCUGAAACUGAGCUAAACUAAACUUUCCCUCCUUCCAGUUGUUUAUUUUAGUUUUUUGUCAUAGAGAUGGAAAACUAUCAAACCAAGUGACCAUUUAAUGAGAAAGUAAAUGUGGAUAGAAGGAAACCAUGUGCUGCUAUCAUUGAGAAAAUGGGUGAAAGACUCUCAAGCUCUUUUGGACACCUUUAGUGCUGCCUCUGCCAUGACAGACCCAAAGAGCUUGGCCUGGAGCACAAAACAAUGAAAUAGGAGGUGCCUGGGUCACUCAUGUGAGAACUGGAACUUCCUCCAACUUGACCAGAAGACACUGAGCACCUACAUUUAAGAGUAACCACUCUUUGAUAACCAGAUCUAAAUUGCCCCCUUCUGGAAAGCCUGCCAACUGCCUUUACUGCAAGGCAAAGGCCUGACUUCACACUCUUGGCUCCCCCAGCUCCUGUCCUCCCUCCGACCCCACCUUGACCACGUGAGACUGCAGCAAGCUCCUCAAGCCAAGGCCUUUCUGUGCAGAGAGAUGCUGCAGGAAGCCUUUGUUAUGGGCUGGGAAAGGGAGUGGAGAUUGAAGGCACCCCAAGUCUCUACUUUAUUCUGCAGACCCUGAGACAGCCAAUCCAAUUUGGCCUCCUGCAGAGGCCCAUCAGAAUGUCCUGUGGGGAAGGACUCAGCAGACAGGACAGAGCUUUAGUUCAAAGUACUCCUUGGUCUGGUUCCUGCACAGCGUGGGCAUGCACCAUGAAAGAAUCGAGCAGGGAGCCGCCUAGGCCUUCUCUAACUGGCUCCUUCUUGGAAAUGCAGUCCAGGUAGAGGGAGAACAGGAAGGUGAUAGCACCAGACAGCAUGGAACAUUUGCACUUAGAGCUAUUCAGUGUCUGGUGUUGGGGUGCAGCAUUGCAGAGAAGGGAGAAAAAGCCAGAAUCUUCCAGUGUGGGAGGCUCUCUGAGGAAGUCUUUGGUUUCUUCUUCCCCCCACCCCCACCCCUUGUCUUUACCCAGCUUAGGUGUCCAUUUUAGCUUCUAACUUGGUGAUUCUCACUCCACAGUAAUUCUCUAAACAUUUCUUGUUCUCAUUACUUUGGGAAAUUAAGGGAAUUUAUCUAGUGAGUUAAUGCCAAGGAUGCUGCUAAAUGGUGUGCGUGCCCACCUGAAAGGAUUAUUCAGCUCCAUGUGUCACUGGUGCUAACCUUCAGAGACCCUGGUCCAGGUGUUUCUCAUUUCCAUAAUUGCCAUAUUUGUUCCCCUUAUAACCUGGAGAGGCAGAUUAGAGCUAGGUGCACUCAUGUGCUGUGUAAUAUUUGCUCAGCACUUGUGCAUGAGUCAUCUUCAGAGAGACUGAGUAGGGGACGUGGUCAGAAGACUUUCUGUGCAGCUCAUAAAUGUGCUCUUACGAAGACGGGUAUUUCUUCCUCGUGUCCAGCAACAGUCUUCUUCAUUUUGGAGGUGAUUCUGUGCACCAGGUGACCCUUCCUGUGGGUUAUACUUGGGACAGUACCCUUCUGAGACUACAGGGGUUAUGAGUAUAGAAGGCCUUGUUCCAGGGCCAAGGGGUUCAAUAGCUCUGCUCAGUUAUGUAGCUCAAGUUAGUCAUUUAAAUGUUUUGUGUCUUGUUCUCUGAUAGACUUCAGAGUCACGUUUGAUUCCACAGGGUUUCCAACUUGGAGCUUUUGAACCUCAUUGGAUGAUACACAGUUCUUUCCUUAUUUAUUGCCCUUUUCCUCCCUUCAUGACAAUGAAAGAACUAUUUUGUAUGCUUUAUAGACAACGGCAGUGACCU